GACGAACGCUGGCGGCGUGGCUAACACAUGCAAGUCGAACGGGGCUCUUUGGAUCGAGACUUCGGUCAAGUGAAUCUGAGCUUAGUGGCGGACGGGUGAGUAACGCGUGAGCAACCUGCCUUUCAGAGGGGGACAACAGUUGGAAACGACUGCUAAUACCGCAUAACGUGUCGAGGAGGCAUCUCCUUGACACCAAAGAUUUAUCGCUGAAAGAUGGGCUCGCGUCUGAUUAGCUAGUUGGUAAGGUAACGGCUUACCAAGGCAAUGAUGCAUAGCCGAGUUGAGAGACUGAUCGGCCACAUUGGGACUGGAGACACGGCCCAA
rnacentral:rRNA from 1 species